rnacentral:rRNA from 1 species
UCCCCCAGUAGCGGCGAGCGAACGGGGAGCAGCCCAGAGCCUGAAUCAGUGUGUGUGUUAGUGGAAGCGUCUGGAAAGGCGCGCGAUACAGGGUGACAGCCCCGUACACAAAAAUGCACAUGCUGUGAGCUCGAUGAGUAGGGCGGGACACGUGGUAUCCUGUCUGAAUAUGGGGGGACCAUCCUCCAAGGCUAAAUACUCCUGACUGACCGAUAGUGAACCAGUACCGUGAGGGAAAGGCGAAAAGAACCCCGGCGAGGGGAGUGAAAAAGAACCUGAAACCGUGUACGUACAAGCAGUGGGAGCACGCUUAGGCGUGUGACUGCGUACCUUUUGUAUAAUGGGUCAGCGACUUAUAUUCUGUAGCAAGGUUAACCGAAUAGGGGAGCCGAAGGGAAACCGAGUCUUAACUGGGCGUUAAGUUGCAGGGUAUAGACCCGAAACCCGGUGAUCUAGCCAUGGGCAGGUUGAAGGUUGGGUAACACUAACUGGAGGACCGAACCGACUAAUGUUGAAAAAUUAGCGGAUGACUUGUGGCUGGGGGUGAAAGGCCAAUCAAACCGGGAGAUAGCUGGUUCUCCCCGAAAGCU